rnacentral:tRNA from 1 species
GGGCCUGUAGCUCAGCUGGUUAGAGCGUCCGCCUGAUAAGCGGGAGGUCCGUGGUUCAAAUCCACGCAGGCCCACCA